rnacentral:rRNA from 1 species
UCGAGGGGUAUAAGUAGCAAUACUUAGAGACCGGCGCACGGGUGAGUAACGCGUAUGCAACCUGCCCUUUACUGGAGGAUAGCCCGUAGAAAUGCGGAUUAAUACCCCAUAGUAAUGUUGGAUCGCAUGAUCUGGCAUUUAAAGUUUCGGCGGUAAAGGAUGGGCAUGCGUGACAUUAGCUAGUUGGAGAGGUAACGGCUCACCAAGGCUUCGAUGUCUAGGGGUUCUGAGAGGAAGAUCCCCCACACUGGUACUGAGACACGGACCAGACUCCUACGGGAGGCAGCAGUGAGGAAUAUUGGUCAAUGGGCGAGAGCCUGAACCAGCCAUCCCGCGUGCAGGAAGAAUGCCCUAUGGGUUGUAAACUGCUUUUUCGCAUGAAGAACACCCCUGACGUGUCAGGGGCUGACGGUAAUGCGUGAAUAAGCACCGGCUAACUCCGUGCCAGCAGCCGCGGUAAUACGGAGGGUGCAAGCGUUAUCCGGAUUUAUUGGGUUUAAAGGGUGCGUAGGCGGCUAUUUAAGUCAGUGGUGAAAUCCUGCAGCUUAACUGUAGAACAGCCAUUGAAACUGAAUAGCUUGAGUGAUCUUGAGGUAGGCGGAAUGUGUAGUGUAGCGGUGAAAUGCUUAGAUAUUACACAGAACACCGAUUGCGAAGGCAGCUUACUAAGGAUUUACUGACGCUGAUGCACGAAAGCGUGGGGAUCAAACAGGAUUAGAUACCCUGGUAGUCCACGCCGUANACGAUGAUAACUCGCUGUUGGCNAUAC